rnacentral:rRNA from 1 species
AGUGAACGCUGGCGGCAGGCCUAACACAUGCAAGUCGAACGGAAGCACAGUGCUUGCUUGCUGUUCCGGGGGGCGAGUGGCGUGCGUGUCAGGAGUAUAUCCGAAUCUACUUUUUCGUAGGGCAUCACGUAGGUGAACUUACUCUAAUAUCGCAGACGAUCUACGGGUGUGAGCUUGGGAUCUUUGGACCUUGCGCGAAUGUAUGCGCCGCUGUCGUAUUAGUUAGUUGGCGGGUUAAAGGCCCACCAAGGCGAGGAUCCGUAGCUGGUCUGAGAGGAUGGUCGGCCACACUGGAACGUAGACACGGUCCAGACUCCUACGGGAGGCAGCAGUGGGGAAUAUUAGACAAUGGGCGCAAGCCUGAUCCAGCCAUACCGCGUCUGUGAAGAAGGCCUUCGGGUUGUAAAGCCCUUUUUUUGGGAAAGAAAAGCAGUAGGUUAAUACCCCGCUGUUCUGACGGUACCCAAAGAAUAAGCACCGGCUAACUUCGUG